GUGUAUGUCAGUAUGUCUGAUAGUGUAUGUGUGUAUGUCAGUAUGUUUGACAGUGUCUGUAUCUGUGUGUGUGUCAGAAGGUCUGUGUGAGUGUAUGUCAGUAUGUAUCUGUGUGUCAGUAUGUCUCUGUGUGUGUCAGUAUGUCUGGUGUGUGUGUGUGUGUCAGUAUGUCUGACAGUGUGUCUGUGUAUGUCUGAUAGUGUAUGUCAGUAUGUUUGACAGUGUCUGUAUCUGUGUGUGUGUCAGAAGGUCUGUGUGAGUGUAUGUCAGUAUGUCUGACAGUGUAUGUCUCUGUGUGUGUCAGUAUGUCUCUGUGUGUGUCAGUAUGUCUGGUGUGUGUGUGUGUGUGUGUGUGUGUGUCAGUAUGUCUGGCAGUGUGUCUGUGUAUGUCAGUAUGUCUGAUAGUGUAUGUCAGUAUGUUUGACAGUGUCUGUAUCUGUGUGUGUGUCAGGUCUGUGUGAGUGUAUGUCAGUAUGUCUGACAGUGUAUGUAUCUGUGUGUGUCAGUAUGUCUGUCAGUGUGUGUGCCUGUUUGUGUGUCAGUAUGCCUAUUAGUGUGUAUGUGUGUGUGUGUG